UAGCUAUGACGAAAAAUGUGUCAAAUGUGGUGACGGGUUCAUCACAAACGCAUACUUCGGUGGCGAAAUAUGGCACAUCUGAGCUU
rnacentral:snoRNA from 1 species